rnacentral:rRNA from 1 species
AUUGAACGCUGGCGGCAGGCUUAACACAUGCAAGUCGAACGAGUGGCGGACGGGUGAGUAAUGCUUGGGAAUCUAGCUUAUGGCGGGGGAUAACUACGGGAAAAUGUAGCUAAUACCGCGUACCAUAGGAUGAGCCCAAGUGGGAUGAGGUAGUUGGUGAGGUAAAGGACCACCAAGCCGACGGUCUCUAGCUGGUCUGGGAGGCUGACCAGCCACAGGGGGACUGAGACACGGCCCAGACUCCAGCGGAAGGCAGCGUAGGGGAAUAUUGCGCAUUGGGGGCAACCUGACGCAGCCAUGCCGCGUGAAUGAAGAAGGCCUUCGAGUUGUAAGGUUCUUUCGGUAGCGAGGCGUUAACGACAGAAGAAGCACCGGCUAACUCCGUGCCAGCAGCCGCGGUAAUUC